AUAAAUAUGGAAGAAGACUCAACGUGCACACACGGGAACUGUUAUUUCACACCAGCACCGAGUUAGUGAACUGCUGGGAGUUGUGUUACGUGAAGGCAUCAUGGCAAACGUUAGAGUGGCCGUUCGAGUCCGCCCUCUCAACGCAAGGGAGAGGGCGGAUGAAGGAAGGCUUGCAGUUCAGGUGGAGGACAAGCUUUUAAGGGUCAAAAAUGUAAAGCUGGAUGGACGUACGGAUGGUGCUGUCGAUUCGAGGGAGA